ensembl:rRNA 5S_rRNA 5S ribosomal RNA
UUUUGCAGCCAUACUGCCUUGAGCCAUGAUCUCGUCAGAUCUCAUUAGCUAAGUAAAGUCGAGCUUGGUCAGUGUUUGGAUGAAAGACCUCUGGGGAUAUUCAGACACAUUAGUGA